rnacentral:rRNA from 1 species
UUUAUGGAGAGUUUGAUCCUGCUCAGGAUGAACGCUGGCGGCGUGCCUAAUACAUGCAAGUCGAGCGAACGGACGAGAAGCUUGCUUCUCUGAUGUUAGCGGCGGACGGGUGAGUAACACGUGGAUAACCUACCUAUAAGACUGGGAUAACUUCGGGAAACCGGAGCUAAUACCGGAUAAUAUUUUGAACCGCAUGGUUCAAAAGUGAAAGACGGUCUUGCUGUCACUUAUAGAUGGAUCCGCGCUGCAUUAGCUAGUUGGUAAAGGUAACGGCUUACCAAGGCAACGAUGCAUAGCCGACCUGAGAGGGUGAUCGGCACACUGGAACUGAGACACGGUCCAGACUCCUACGGGAAGGCAGCAGUAGGGAAUCUUCCGCAAUGGGCGAAAGCCUGACGGAGCAACGCCGCGUGAGUGGAGAAGGUCUUCGGAUCGUAAAAACUCUGUUAUUAGGAAGAAACAUAUGUGUAAGUAACUGUGCACAUCUUGACGGUUAACCUAAAUCAGAAAGCCACGGCUAACUACGUGCCAGCAGCCGCGGUAAUACGUAGGUGGCAAGCGUUAUCCGGAAUUAUUGGGCGUAAAGCGCGCGUAGGCGGUUUUUUAAGUCUUGAUGUGAAAGCCACGGCUCAACCGUGGAGGGUCAUUGGAAACUGGAAAACUUGAGUGCAGAAGAGGAAAGUGGAAUUCCAUGUGUAGCGGUGAAAUGCGCAGAGAUAUGGAGGAACACCAGUGGCGAAGGCGACUUUCUGGUCUGUAACUGACGCUGAUGUGCGAAAGCGUGGGGAUCAAACAGGAUUAGAUACCCUGGUAGUCCACGCCGUAAACGAUGAGUGCUAAGUGUUAGGGGGUUUCCGCCCCUUAGUGCUGCAGCUAACGCAUUAAGCACUCCGCCUGGGGAGUACGACCGCAAGGUUGAAACUCAAAGGAAUUGACGGGGACCCGCACAAGCGGUGGAGCAUGUGGUUUAAUUCGAAGCAACGCGAAGAACCUUACCAAAUCUUGACAUCCUUUGACAACUCUAGAGAUAGAGCCUUCCCUUCGGGGGACAAAGUGACAGGUGGUGCAUGGUUGUCGUCAGCUCGUGUCGUGAGAUGUUGGGUUAAGUCCCGCAACGAGCGCAACCCUUAAGCUUAGUUGCCAUCAUUAAGUUGGGCACUCUAAGUUGACUGCCGGUGACAAACCGGAGGAAGGUGGGGAUGACGUCAAAUCAUCAUGCCCCUUAUGAUUUGGGCUACACACGUGCUACAAUGGACAAUAAAAGGGCAGCGAAACCGCGAGGUCAAGCAAAUCCCAUAAAGUUGUUCUCAGUUCGGAUUGUAGUCUGCAACUCGACUACAUGAAGCUGGAAUCGCUAGUAAUCGUAGAUCAGCAUGCUACGGUGAAUACGUUCCCGGUCUUGUACACACCGCCGUCACACCACGAGAGUUUGUAACACCCGAAGCCGGUGGAGUAACUUUUAGGAGCUAGCCGUCGAAGGUGGACAAAUGAUUGGGGUGAAGUCGUAACAAGGUAGCCGUAUCGGAAGGUGCGGCUGGAUCACCUCCUUUCUA